GCGACUGUAGCUCAAUUGGUAGAGCGCCUGGUUGAAGCCCAGGAGGUCGCUGGUUCGAUUCCAGCCAGGCGCA
rnacentral:tRNA from 2 species